AGUUAAACAUAAAUACGUGUAAUUACAAUUUAUUAGUGGCAAUACCAGAAACAAUUGAAAAUUUGUUUAUACAUAAUUUACUAAAUUGGGUAUUUAAAACCCACCAGUUUUGUUCCUUAUCUUUUAUUUACAAUUCGUUAGCAGCCUCUUAUUACUAUGGGUUGAAAACAGCCCUUAUCGUCGAUUUGGGUGAAAGUGGAAGCAGAAUAACUCCAAUUGCAGAAAAUCAUGGAAUAUUUUUAGAGAGCACACGAUCUUGCGAAAUAGGUGGCUAUCUAAUAAGCAAAUACAUUUCAAAUUUUGUCAAAAUUAAUGAUACAUAUAUUGAUUAUAUACUUAUUCAGAAUUAUAAAGAAUCAACUAGUUAUGUAAGUCUUGAUGUAGAUAGUAAUAUAAAGUUGGCAACAGAAUGUAAUGGCUUAGUAAAACCUUAUAAAAUACCUUAUAGUAAUAUAUAUAUAGACCCUAAAGCUGAAGUAUUAAGUCAUGAAAUAUAUUUUAAACCUGAGUUUUUAGCACAUUUACCAGGAAAUUUUUAUAAACAAAAUAUUAUAUCAUUAAAUAUUUUAAUUUUUGAAUGUAUUAAUGCAUGUCCUAUGGAUUUAAGAAAAAGUAUGUUAAACAACAUUGUAUUAGUAGGUGGAGUAUCUAAUUGUACUAAUAUAUGUGAAAGAUUACAUAACGAAUUAAUGAAUAUUUUACAAAAUAAAAAUUAUAGUCAAAAUACAACAGUCCAUAUAAAACACAUGAGAAUGGCUAAUAUUGCUUCUUAUUUGGGUAGUAAAAAAUAUGGAAAAACCCUUUAUUAUAAUAAAAAAAAAAUGGAUUACCAGAGAAGAAUAUUGUACGUCACCAAAAAGUCAAAUUAUACAGAAGCUCUUAAUGUGGGCGAAUGUUUUAUAAUGUAUAUUAUGUCACAUGUAUUACUACUAUCUACCUUUUUAAGCUUUAACAUACGUGAAUGUUACUAUGUUUCAUUAACAAAUAGUAAACAUAGUCAGCUAAUGUUCAUGCAACAUGCGUACAUAUAUAUAUAUAUAUAUAUAUAAUGGUAUAAAUAUCUGUUUAUUUACACAAUCGAUAGAGGACGUACAUAAAAAAAAACAAAAAAAAAAAAAGCAAAA
rnacentral:lncRNA from 1 species